rnacentral:rRNA from 1 species
UACGUAGGGUGCAAGCGUUGUCCGGAAUUAUUGGGCGUAAAGAGCUCGUAGGCGGUUUGUCGCGUCUGCUGUGAAAAUCCAGGGCUCAACCCCGGACUUGCAGUGGGUACGGGCAGACUAGAGUGUGGUAGGGGAGACUGGAAUUCCUGGUGUAGCGGUGAAAUGCGCAGAUAUCAGGAGGAACACCGAUGGCGAAGGCAAUCCCCUGGGCCUGUACUGACGCUCAUGCACGAAAGCGUGGGGAGCAAACAGG